UACGUAGGGGGCAAGCGUUGUCCGGAAUCAUUGGGCGUAAAGAGCGCGUAGGCAGCCCUGUAAGUCCGCUGUGAAAGUCAAGGGCUCAACCCUUGAAUGCCGGUGGAUACUGCAGGGCUAGAGUCCGGAAGAGGCGAGUGGAAUUCCUGGUGUAGCGGUGAAAUGCGCAGAUAUCAGGAGGAACACCAAUGGCGAAGGCAGCUCGCUGGGACGGUACUGACGCUGAGACGCGAAAGCGUGGGGAGCAAACAGG
rnacentral:rRNA from 1 species